AGUUUUUUAGUAUAUAUAGUAUAAUUAAGUUCCAAUUAAUAGGAGAUAAAAAACUA
rnacentral:tRNA from 1 species